UACAGAGACUGCAAGCGUUAUUCGGAUUCACUGGGCGUAAAGGGUGCGCAGGCGGCCAAGUGUGUGAGGCGUGAAAGCCCGGGGCUUAACCCCGGAAUUGCACCUCAAACUACAUGGCUAGAGCAUUGGAGAGGGUAGCAGAAUUCUUGGUGUAGCGGUGAAAUGCGUAGAUAUCAAGAGGAACACCUGCGGCGAAGGCGGGUUGCUGGGCCGACACUGACGCUGAUGCGCGAAAGCCAGGGGAGCGAACGGG
rnacentral:rRNA from 1 species